AUGACUAAACCAAAAAGAGAUGGGGGUAUAGGUUUCAGAGAUAUGCAUCUAUUUAACCAAGCACUUUUAGCAAGACAGGGAUGGAGACUACUACAAAACCCAGACAGUCUAUGCGCCAGAGUACUUAAGUCUAAGUACUAUCCCAACGGAGAACUUGUGGACACGGUCUUUGCCUCAGAUGCCUCCCCUGCCUGGCGUGGGAUCGAAUUUGGCUCGGAGCUGUUAAAAAAGGACUGA
rnacentral:rRNA from 1 species